rnacentral:rRNA from 1 species
UACGUAGGGGGGCAAGCGUUGUCCGGAAUCAUUGGGCGUAAAGCGCGUGUAGGCGGUCCGGUAAGUCCGCUGUGAAAGUCGGGGGCUCAACCCUCGGAUGCCGGUGGAUACUGUCAGGCUAGAGUACGGAAGAGGCGAGUGGAAUUCCUGGUGUAGCGGUGAAAUGCGCAGAUAUCAGGAGGAACACCCAUUGCGAAGGCAGCUCGCUGGGACGUUACUGACGCUGAGACGCGAAAGCGUGGGGAGCAAACAGG